UAAGAGGAAAAUUAGAAGGAUUAAUAGUUUGUUAAUAAUAUAUUUAUAUUUAUUGUAUAGGACCAUUGAUCCUAAAUUGUAGGGAUAGAUUAUAUCCAUCAUAAAUUAUAAUUCAGUUAUGAAGUCUUUAUAUUCUAUGAAUAAUAUUAAAAGCAUUUUUUUGACAUAUUGCAAUCUUACUUCCUUCUUUCCCCCUUGUUUAACUAUAGGUACGGACAAUAUCAUUAUUUGGUGAAGUAUGGGGCAUAGGACCAUCCACAGCAUUGAAAUUGUAUGAGAAGGGACAUCGUUCAUUAGAUGAUCUUAGGAAUGAUGGCUCACUUACAAAUGCACAAAAGUUAGGGCUGAAAUACUUUGAUGAUAUCAGACAACGGAUUCCACGCCAUGAGGUUCAGGAGAUGGAACACAUUUUACAAAACGCUGGGGAGGACGUUUUACCUGGGGUUGUUAUCAUCUGUGGGGGAUCAUAUAGACGUGGGAAAGCUACCUGUGGAGACAUUGAUAUCAUAAUAACACAUCCCGAUGGACAAAGUCACAAAGGAUUUUUGCCAAAGUUUGUAAAACAUUUAAAGGAUAUGAAUUUCCUAAGAGAGGAUUUAAUUUUCAGUAUUCACAGUGAAGAGGUAAUUUUAGCAUUUUCUUGUUACCUAUAAAUUAUGUGUUUAUUUGGUUGAUUGAUUAAGCUUUCCUGGAAAACAUUGAUAAAAUAUUUCCAGAGAUCAUUAUUCCAUUUGUAUGUUGAUAUCUCAUCAAAGAUAAGGGUUUGAUUGCUUGCUUGCAUAUAAAUAUGAAAAGCGGUAAUAGUUUGUUGAGAUGUAACUUGUAAAUUGCAUUUAAGCUCAACACGUGACAUUUUUCCUUUGUUUGCACAUAUGUGCUAUACAGUUCAUAGGUUGAAAUUUUACAUUUUAAUAAUUAGAAGGAUUGAAUAAGCUACCUUGUAGUACUACACAAAUUUUGAAAUGAUAAGCUAUUAGGAUAAUAAGGAAGGUAGGUGCAAACAAGUUUUUAAUUUGUAUGAUUUAUUAUUCUUUGGAACUUAGAUUGAUCCUAGCUAUUGAUUACCCAUUCACAAGGGAUACAAAUGUUACCAGCCUCCAACAAAAUGAUUCUGUGUCUGUUGAUGUCACCUCUGAUGAAAAAAUCACAAAUUUUCAACCUUAUCUUUAGGGGAAAAACUCAUGUAUUG